rnacentral:rRNA from 1 species
AGUGAACGCUGGCGGUAGGCCUAACACAUGCAAGUCGAACGGCAGCACAGUAAGAGCUUGCUCUUACGGGUGGCGAGUGGCGGACGGGUGAGGAAUACAUCGGAAUCUACUUUUUCGUGGGGGAUAACGUAGGGAAACUUACGCUAAUACCGCAUACGACCUACGGGUGAAAGCAGGGGAUCUUCGGACCUUGCGCGAUUGAAUGAGCCGAUGUCGGAUUAGCCAGUUGGCGGGGUAAAGGCCCACCAAGGCGGCGAUCCGUAGCUGGUCUGAGAGGAUGAUCAGCCACACUGGAACUGAGACACGGUCCAGACUCCUACGGGAGGCAGCAGUGGGGAAUAUUGGACAAUGGGCGCAAGCCUGAUCCAGCCAUACCGCGUGGGUGAAGAAGGCCUUCGGGUUGUAAAGCCCUUUUGUUGGGAAAGAAAAGCAGCAGGUUAAUACCCCGCUGUUCUGACGGUACCCAAAGAAUAAGCACCGGCUAACUUCGUG